GCGGACGUGGCGGAACUUGGUAUACGCGUAUGCUUGAGGUGCAUAUGGUCGCAAGACCGUGGGAGUUCAAGUCUCCCCGUCCGCA
rnacentral:tRNA from 1 species